AUCUGGUCAGCUGGUCUCUCAAUGCAAUUGAUCAAAUUUUCUCCACAGGAAGACUGGGCAAAGGAGAGUCUGCUUGUCCUGCAGGGACAUACCCGUCAGGAUACAUUUUGGACUCGUGGGAUGUUUACAAAAAUUUUUGUCUGUCCAUGUUAUCCCUGGAAGAUGCGGAGGAUCUGUAUUUAUUUGGAUUCAUAAGAUUUCUGCUGUUUGGAGUUGGUGGAUACCUGGCUUAUUGACAAAUUCAGAAGAUGUUGGCAGUCGUUUUGGCCCUUGUCAAGCUGCCUGAUCAAUAUUAUGGAUUUGACUGACUAGCAAAUACUCAGACUAACAUGCUGUGGGACCAGAGCCGUAAGCUGGAUGCGAAUCUUACUGAGAUUCGCAAACCAGCUGCAGGCCCUGGAUCUCACCAGUGAGAUGGAAUCAACAUUUUGGAGAAGUUGCUAGUUCCGACCGGCGGGAACGGCCAUACUAAUUUGGAUGAUUGAAAUUAACAGAGAUGUACCGGUGAGACUGUAGGGCAGAUAGAAAUUAAAAGUCUACCCAAUCUAAAGAAUAUUGUCUCCAUAUGAACUGGCUCCUCUGUGUUGGCCUUGGCUGGCUCAGUUCUCCUGGUUUACAUAUCAUCUGCAACUGAUAUGUAAACAAGAUGCUCUUUCACACCUCGUUCCCUUCCUGAAGACAUCCUUGCAAAUGUGGAGCAGAUUGCUCCCAAGAACUUGCUCAGUAAGACCAUAGUAUCAGAGACUAUUGCCUGGGAGAGUUGGCUGAAUGGGGUUCAUGGACUUCCUGCACACAUAUCUCAAGGCUACAGAUACACACUUCCUGAUUUCACUGCCUUUUGCUGGCUGCAUUUCUGAAUGUUUGUAUUUCUAUAAUCUUUUGCAGUGUUGUAGUGCUUUUUAUUUAUUGUCAGGUGGAGGGAGUCAGAGAAAGCCGUCUGUGAUAGCAGUGCAUGCAUAUUGUAACCCAAGUGAAAUGUUGAGUUCCAUUUUCUGGUUCGCUACUAUUGCCCUCCAAAAUCUCGCGGUAGUUUGAUUAUAUAACUGCAAUUCUCGCGAGAUUUACUAAGCAGCCAAUCAUUGUUGAGCGUCUGAGUCACAUGUACCACCGUCAGCUCAUUUGUUGGGUAUAUUAGCUGGAGCAAAAAGCAUGGAGGAUUAGAACAAGUUUGGGAGAGCAGAGCUGCAGGUCGGUUAAGCGCAACAUUCUGUUUUUCUUUAAUCUUGUAUGAUGCUGAUAAAAUUGUACUAACUUUAGGAGUCUCCGGUCGUAAGCUGAGGGAUAAGAGAAACACAAAACCGCUUGUAUGCCUUAUGAACUGCGGAAUUGGCCAGGUUCGAUGGCGAGCUGAAGAAUCAGGUCCAAGAGCCUAAAGGAAUUCACCUGUGGUGUUAAGAUUUGGUUUUCCCACCAGGCUGGUGGGAGGCUUCCUGCAGCCCAUGAACAAAGUUGUUCCCACUCUGAUCUGACUUUUGUCAGCAUAUGAACUGCAACAGGCGCUCUAAACCCACCUGACCCUGUUGAACCGCCUCAGUUCAGGGGGGUUUUAUGAACUGAAUGGUGUGGCUUGUUACUGGAACUGUGGAACUGAUUUGUUUUUUUUAUUUGUUAAUUUAAUUUGUUUUCUUUGUGUAUUAUUUCCUUUUAUUUUAAUAUGGCCAUUUAAAUGUUUUUUUUCCUUUCUUAUUGUAAUGUAAAUAAUUAAUCACUGUGAAUACAAGGCACUCACAUCUGCAA